rnacentral:lncRNA from 1 species
AUUCUGCGAGCAGAUCACCUAUGUCGCUGAACGACGUUUCAAUUACUGAACUUGAUCCAAGGUGAUCCACCUUGCGAAGUGAUGGUGAACUUGUUGCACUGUAGUUGCAACAAAAACAAAGUUUGGUAUACUGGGAGGGGUCAGGGGAGCAGCCAGAAUUUUCGAUUGAGGGCCAAAUAGGCUAUGCAACAUAAGUUGUGAUCCACCUUGCGAAGUGAUGGGUGUACUUGCAGCACUGUUGUUGCAACAAAAACAAAGUUUGGUGCUGGGAAGGUCGGGAGCAGCCAGGAUUUUUUAUUGAGGGCCAAUUAGGCUAUACGACACGGUUGUUACUA